rnacentral:sRNA from 1 species
GCCGGGCGUGGUGGCUCACGCCUGUAAUCCCAGCACUUUGGGAGGCCGAGGUGGGAGAAUUAUUUGAGGCCAGGAGUUCGAGACCAGCCUGGCCAACAUGGUGAAACCCUGUCUCUACUGAAAAUACAAAAAUUAGCUGGGCGUCGUGGCGGGUGCCUGUAAUCCCAGCUACUCAGGAGGCUGAGAUGGGAGAAUCGCUUGAACCCAGGAGGCGGAGUUUGCAGUGAGCCGCAAUCCCACCACUGUACUCUAGCCUGGGCAACAGAAUGAGACCCUAUCUCA